AGCCCAUGGUUGGGGCACUUCUUCAACAAAACGUUGAAUCUCUCUCAUGCUUCAAACAUGGACUCUUGACUCUUCAUGCUAAAAUGAGUGAUCUCCCUUGAAGGUU